GAUGAACGCUAGCGGCAGGCCUAAUACAUGCAAGUCGGACGGGAUUUGGGAGCUUGCUCCUAAUGAGAGUGGCGCACGGGUGCGUAACACGUAUGUAACCUACCUUAAUCAGGGGGAUAGCCUCUCGAAAGAGAGAUUAACACCGCAUAAUAUAUUUUUAUGGCAUCGUGGAAAUAUCAAAUAUUUAUAGGAUUAAGAUGGGCAUGCGGAACAUUAGCUAGUUGGUAAGGUAACGGCUUACCAAGGCUACGAUGUUUAGGGGAUCUGAGAGGAUGACCCCCCACACUGGUACUGAGACACGGACCAGACUCCUACGGGAGGCAGCAGUAAGGAAUAUUGGUCAAUGGGCGCAAGCUUGAACCAGCCAUGCCGCGUGCAGGAAGACGGCCCUAUGGGUUGUAAACUGCUUUUGUACCGGAAUAAACCCUUUUACGUGUAAAAGGCUGAAUGUACGGUAAGAAUAAGGAUCGGCUAACUCCGUGCCAGCAGCCGCCGUAA
rnacentral:rRNA from 1 species